UUUUCCCUGGAGUUUUUCUUUGGGACCAGAAAAAUCGGGGAGUAGAAACCUGGUAUGACGAUUUGUAUUUCUUCGAUUGCAUGGGAACGGCUGGGGGUGGAAGACUCCAGUCGUUCCGACCCUGUCCAUCAACGUUUAAAGUUCCUGGCACCUCUGAAUCCUCUGCCUCUUCCGGGGUUACCCCUAGGAGCUCUGGUGGGGCGACGAAAAGAAUCCUUAUAUCCCUUGGAAGUGCCGUAUUUCUUGUCUCUAGCUCUCUGAAUUAUCUUUGUGAAGUCUGCCUGAUGACGCUGGC